rnacentral:rRNA from 1 species
UACGAGGGGGGCUAGCGUUGCUCGGAAUUACUGGGCGUAAAGCGCACGUAGGCGGGCUGUUAAGUCGGGGGUGAAAUCCUGGAGCUCAACUCCAGAACUGCCUUCGAAACUGGCGAUCUUGAGUCCGGGAGAGGUGAGUGGAACUGCGAGUGUAGAGGUGAAAGUCGGAGAUAUUCGCAAGAACACCAGUGGCGAAGGCGGCUCACUGGCCCGGUACUGACGCUGAGGUGCGAAAGCGUGGGGAGCAAACAGG